GACAGAGGGUGCAAACGUUGCUCGGAAUUACUGGGCGUAAAGCGUGCGUAGGUGGUUCGUUAAGUCUGAUGUGAAAGCCCUGGGCUCAACCUGGGAAUGGCAUUGGAAACUGGCGACCUAGAGUGCGGUAGAGGGUAGUGGAAUUCCCGGUGUAGCAGUGAAAUGCGUAGAGAUCGGGAGGAACAUCUGUGGCGAAGGCGACUGCCUGGACCAGCACUGACACUGAGGCACGAAAGCGUGGGGAGCAAACAGG
rnacentral:rRNA from 1 species